GCACCUUUCACCGGAAUGAUUGUGGGCCAGGAGAAGCCUUAUAAAAACAAAAAUGCCAUUAAUAAUGGUGUUCGGAUAUCUGGAAGAGGAUGACCAGAAAAACGAGCCCAGUUGAAGAUGUACACCACCACCUACCAGCUGAAAGACAACGGCAGUUACAACGUCACCUCCACCCUGAUCAGGAACCAGCGCUGCGACCACUGGAUCAGAACUUUUGUCCCAAGUUCCCUGCCUGGCCAGUUCACCCUGGGCAACAUUAAGCGUUACGUCGGAGUGCAGAGCUACACCGUGCGGGUGAUGACCACCAACUACAACCAGUUUGCCAUGGUGUUCUUCAAGAAAGUUUACAAAAACCAGGAGUACUUCAAGAUCACCCUCUAUGGGAGGACCAAGCAGCUGCCCACUGCUCUGAAGGAAUACUUCACCGGCUUUGCCAAAUCCCUGGGCCUCACCGAUGACCACAUCAUCUUCCCUGUCCCCACUGACCAGUGCAUCGAUGAUAAGUGAAUGAGUAUGCGGUGUCCCCCGUCUCUCUCCACCCCAUCACCCUCACGCUGACCUCUGCCCAGGGCACCGCCCAGCUGUUCCACCAACCCGGACACCAGGAGAGAGCCCGGAGACCCUUCUCACCACACAGCCCACCAGCUGCUUCCCAGGCUGCCCUUCUGAUGGAACCCCUCCUUGCUUGCUAAAUAAACACAUGCCCCC